GCCCGUAUAGCUCAGUUGGUAGAGCGCGACACUAGUAUCUUUAGUAUAUGUCGAGGUCAGUCGUUCAAGUCGGCUUGUGGGCA